GACGAACCGUGCAAACGUUAUUCGGAAUCACUGGGCUUAAAGCGUGUGUAGGCGGCUUUGCAAGUCGGGUGUGAAAGCCCUGGGCUCAACCUGGGAACGGCAUUGGAAACUGGCUUACUAGAGUGCGGUAGAGGGGUGUGGAAUUCCCGGUGUAGCAGUGAAAUGCGUAGAUAUCGGGAGGAACAUCUGUGGCGAAGGCGACACCCUGGACCAGCACUGACACUGAGGCACGAAAGCGUGGGGAGCAAACAGG
rnacentral:rRNA from 1 species